rnacentral:lncRNA from 1 species
GUAAUCCCAGCAACUCAGGAGGCAUGAGGACUUAAGUUCAAGGCCAGCUGGGCAACUUAACAAGAUGCUGUCUCAAAAUUUUUAAAACUUUAAAAAGGGAUGAGGAUGGUAGUAGAAUUCAGUGGUAGAGCACCCCCCCAGUACAAAAAAAUAAAAAUAAAACAUGGGCUUAAAUCUUUGUGACCUUAGACUAGGCACUGAUAAAAUAUACUUUCUAAAAAUAAAAAGGACUGGAAUAUAGCGCUCUCUCUCUCUCUCUCUCUCUCUCUCUCUCUGUCUCCCCUCUCACCACCCCCACUCUCUCUCACACACACACACAAUUUGUUCUCUCUCUUUUUUUCUCUCUUUCCCUGUUCUCUUUCUCUCUCUCUCUCUCUCUCUCUCUCUCUCUCUCUC